rnacentral:rRNA from 1 species
UACGUAGGGGGCAAGCGUUGUCCGGAAUCAUUGGGCGUAAAGCGCGCGUAGGCGGCCCGAUAAGUCUGCUGUGAAAGUCCAGGGCUCAACCCUGGAAUGCCGGUGGAUACUGUCGGGCUAGAGUUCGGAAGAGGCAAGUGGAAUUCCUGGUGUAGAGGUGAAAUUCGUAGAUAUUAGGAAGAACACCAGUGGCGAAGGCGGCUCACUGGACCGGUAUUGACGCUGAGGUGCGAAAGCGUGGGGAGCAAACAGG